rnacentral:rRNA from 1 species
UACGUAGGGUGCAAGCGUUAAUCGGAAUUACUGGGCGUAAAGCGUGCGCAGGCGGCUUUGCAAGACAGACGUGAAAUCCCUCGGCUUAACCGGGGAACUGCGUCUGAUACUGGAUGGCUUGAGUUUGGGAGAGGGAUGCGGAAUUCCAGGUGUAGCGGUGAAAUGCGUAGAUAUCUGGAGGAACACCGGUGGCGAAGGCGGCAUCCUGGACCAACACUGACGCUGAGUGAGCGAAAGCCAGGGGAGCAAACGGG